UUUUAUCAUGCUAACACGUCAAGGUCAAAAGAAUUCUUGCAACGCUUUACGACAGGAAUGGAAUGAACACAUUCAAUCAAGGGUACC